GCUGAGCUGCUCGUGGAACGAACUCUGGUAUUGAUUGGUGCUUGCAUCAUGAUUUACAUUUGAGUGAGUGGCGAACUGGUGAGUAACACGUGGGAAACCUGCCCAGAAGCGGGGGAUAACACCUGGAAACAGAUGCUAAUACCGCAUAACAACUUGGACCGCAUGGUCCGAGCUUGAAAGAUGGCUUCGGCUAUCACUUUUGGAUGGUCCCGCGGCGUAUUAGCUAGAUGGUGGGGUAACGGCUCACCAUGGCAAUGAUACGUAGCCGACCUGAGAGGGUAAUCGGCCACAUUGGGACUGAGACACGGCCCAAACUCCUACGGGAGGCAGCAGUAGGGAAUCUUCCACAAUGGACGAAAGUCUGAUGGAGCAACGCCGCGUGAGUGAAGAAGGGUUUCGGCUCGUAAAACUCUGUUGUUAAAGAAGAACAUAUCUGAGAGUAACUGUUCAGGUAUUGACGGUAUUUAACCAGAAAGCCACGGCUAACUACGUGCCAGCAGCCGCGGUAAUACGUAGGUGGCAAGCGUUGUCCGGAUUUAUUGGGCGUAAAGCGAGCGCAGGCGGUUUUUUAAGUCUGAUGUGAAAGCCUUCGGCUCAACCGAAGAAGUGCAUCGGAAACUGGGAAACUUGAGUGCAGAAGAGGACAGUGGAACUCCAUGUGUAGCGGUGAAAUGCGUAGAUAUAUGGAAGAACACCAGUGGCGAAGGCGGCUGUCUGGUCUGUAACUGACGCUGAGGCUCGAAAGUAUGGGUAGCAAACAGGAUUAGAUACCCUGGUAGUCCAUACCGUAAACGAUGAAUGCUAAGUGUUGGAGGGUUUCCGCCCUUCAGUGCUGCAGCUAACGCAUUAAGCAUUCCGCCUGGGGAGUACGGCCGCAAGGCUGAAACUCAAAGGAAUUGACGGGGGCCCGCACAAGCGGUGGAGCAUGUGGUUUAAUUCGAAGCUACGCGAAGAACCUUACCAGGUCUUGACAUACUAUGCAAAUCUAAGAGAUUAGACGUUCCCUUCGGGGACAUGGAUACAGGUGGUGCAUGGUUGUCGUCAGCUCGUGUCGUGAGAUGUUGGGUUAAGUCCCGCAACGAGCGCAACCCUUAUUAUCAGUUGCCAGCAUUAAGUUGGGCACUCUGGUGAGACUGCCGGUGACAAACCGGAGGAAGGUGGGGAUGACGUCAAAUCAUCAUGCCCCUUAUGACCUGGGCUACACACGUGCUACAAUGGAUGGUACAACGAGUUGCGAACUCGCGAGAGUAAGCUAAUCUCUUAAAGCCAUUCUCAGUUCGGAUUGUAGGCUGCAACUCGCCUACAUGAAGUCGGAAUCGCUAGUAAUCGCGGAUCAGCAUGCCGCGGUGAAUACGUUCCCGGGCCUUGUACACACCGCCCGUCACACCAUGAGAGUUUGUAACACCCAAAGUCGGUGGGGUAACCUUUUAGGAACCAGCCGCCUAAGGUGGGACAGAUGAUUAGGGUGAGUCACCAAAGGGGGG
rnacentral:rRNA from 1 species